rnacentral:rRNA from 1 species
GAUGAACGCUGGCGGCGUGCUUAACACAUGCAAGUCGAACGAAGCAUUUAAGACAGAUUACUUCGGUUUGAAGUCUUUUAUGACUGAGUGGCGGACGGGUGAGUAACGCGUGGGUAACCUGCCUCAUACAGGGGGAUAGCAGCUGGAAACGGCUGGUAAUACCGCAUAAGCGCACAGUACCACAUGGUACAGUGUGAAAAACUCCGGUGGUAUGAGAUGGACCCGCGUCUGAUUAGCUUGUUGGCGGGGUAACGGCCCACCAAGGCGGCGAUCAGUAGCCGACCUGAGAGGGUGACCGGCCACAUUGGGACUGAGACACGGCCCAGACUCCUACGGGAAGCAGCAGUGGGGAAUAUUGCACAAUGGAGGAAACUCUGAUGCAGCGACGCCGCGUGAGUGAAGAAGUAGUUCGCUAUGUAAAGCUCUAUCAGCAGGGAAGAUAGUGACGGUACCUGACGAAGAAGCUCCGGCUAAAUACGUG